rnacentral:lncRNA from 1 species
AACAUCUUCUUUUAAUUACACCCCAAAACACUAUUCACUCUAGGGCAGUUUAGCAGUUCGGAACAGUUGGAACCCUUCUGAAUGUCCGUUUGGGCUCAAAUUUGACAGACAGACUCGGUUUAACGUACUGAGUAAGAAUAUAUCUUAAGUUUUCAGUUUGGAUCUUAUUUGGUCACUGAAAACUAUACCGAACUGUAAUCUUU